CCUACGGGUGGCAGCAGUCGAGAAUCAUUCACAAUGGGGGAAACCCUGAUGGUGCGACGCCGCGUGGGGGAAUGAAGGUCUUCGGAUUGUAAACCCCUGUCAUGUGGGAGCAAAUUAAAAAGAUAGUACCACAAGAGGAAGAGACGGCUAACUCUGUGCCAGCAGCCGCGGUAAUACAGAGGUCUCAAGCGUUGUUCGGAAUCACUGGGCGUAAAGCGUGCGUAGGCUGUUGCGUAAGUCGUGUGUGAAAGGGGCGGGCUCAACCCGCGGACGGCACAUGAUACUGCGAGACUAGAGUAAUGGAGGGGAAACCGGAAUUCGCGGUGUAGCAGUGAAAUGCGUAGAUAUCGAGAGGAACACUCGUGGCGAAGGCGGGUUCCUGGACAUUAACUGACGCUGAGGCACGAAGGCCAGGGGAGCGAAAGGGAUUAGAUACCCGUGUAGUC
rnacentral:rRNA from 1 species